UCCGGCUGCUCCGGAGGCUGGGAGACCAAAGCAGCGAGAGCUGGGACCCCUCACCGCCUUCCCCACACCCUUGUCAGGGCCGGGCAGCAGUCAGGGCGGUGGUGGCAGGCGCCAGCCGAUGUCUGGUCCAGGAGUCCCUGGCCAACCCCAGAGAUGAGGCUGUGGCCCUGCCAAGCUUCCUGGGCUGCACCUCCUGAAGGGGGACCCCAUCCCAUUGUCUAUGUCUGAGCCACACCUGGACAAACAUGUUCUGUCUCUGAGCCCUAAAGCUCCGUUUCCUCUGGUGCGAGAAUAAGAUCAGGAAGUCCUUAUACACAGUGUCCCUGUCCUGGCCACCCUGGAAUGGGAACAAAGCCUCUCCUUUCAUGGGGUCUUUCUGAGACUCAGUGACAUUCCCAUGAGACCCAUGGCUAUGGCCCGGGCUCCCUGUUCAAACACAAGUCGUCAGUGACCUGACCCAAGGGACAUGCCGGUCUGAUACCAGCCAGCAGCCGGUGUGCCGGAGGCUUAUCAGAGCUGCUCGGGUUACCCCGGGGAGUGCCGCCCUGGCCCCGGCCCCAUCAGUGCACCUGGCCGUGCCCAGCCUCUAAUCCAGCCGGACUGUGGGCUGCUUUCUGGAGACCUGGGGUUCUGUGAAUGUGACCAGCAACUACCUGCAGGAGUGGGGUCGCUGCGUGGGAGGGACUCAGGCCCCCGAGUCCCUUUAUAACUGUUCCUUUAGGACAGCCUGUAGGGCUUUUUGGAAAAAUGACACUGGCUACAACACAGAUGGACCCUGAGGAUAUUGUGCACCAGUCUUGUGAGAAGCUCCUCGGGCCCUGCCCCCUGUCUCCUUGAACUGGGAUGGACUGAACUAUGUCUCCUGGAAUAGACUGAACUGUGUCUUUCCCAUGCUCCUAUGAGGACAUCCUCAUCCCCAGAGUGAAGAGCGGACGCAGCCUUGCACACCGGCAAGGCAGGGAGCCCUCACCAGGAACUGAAUCAGCCAUCACCUUGUUCCUGGACCUCCAGCCUCCAGGAAGCUGUCCUGAGUAUCUGGCACAUUAAAGGGAGCUUGCUGGGCACUGUGGGAUUCAUCGAUAGGUAAGAAGGAGAGGCAGAGUCCCUGAACUCCAUCAGCCUCCAGUCUGGACAAGACCAGACACCCACACGCAAAGUGGAGCCAGGUGGUGCCCUGUGGGAAGCCAGCAUGUGCCAGGCACCUGGAGAAGGAGCCAGAACUGGGUCUGGGCUGACGGAGGGGAGACCCACAGGCUACGUGGAGAGAAGAAGCAUGUCUGGCAACGGAGGGCACGCGGCUGGAGGGGCUGAGGGGAUGCAUGAGAAAAUGAGUUUGGCUUCAAAUAUGGAUGUCACCAAAUGCCAGCACAGGGCCUCAGACUGGACACACGGCCCGUGGGUCACCUGGUGCCUGUAAAGGGGCACCGUGUUUCUUCUGAAAUAUCUCUGGCCACUGGGGAAACGCCGUGUGUGUGCUGGAGUCACAUUGCAUCCCUUGCCUGGACACAAGAGCAGGCCCCACCUUGCUCUAUCUUCAAAACGCUACAGCACGGAGCCCCCAGAAGCAGGGGUACCCCUUGGGUGGCCGCCUAAGUCAAGAGGCCUUGAUAACCGGAAAGUCACACUUUUUUCUUUCUGAAUGGUGCAAAUCAAUAGGAAAAAUCGAGAUUGUCUGAGGAAGCUUUCUUCAAACAUUACA
rnacentral:lncRNA from 10 species